GACGAACGCUGGCGGCGCGCCUAACACAUGCAAGUCGAACGGAGUUGAGAGGAGCUUGCUUUUCUCAACUUAGUGGCGAACGGGUGAGUAACGCGUGAGUAACCUGCCCUGGAGUGGGGGACAACAGUUGGAAACGACUGCUAAUACCGCAUAAGCCCACGGUACCGCAUGGUACUGAGGGAAAAGGAUUUACUCGCUUCAGGAUGGACUCGCGUCCAAUUAGCUAGUUGGUGAGGUAACGGCCCACCAAGGCGACGAUUGGUAGCCGGACUGAGAGGUUGAACGGCCACAUUGGGACUGAGACACGGCCCAGACUCCUACGGGAGGCAGCAGUGGGGGAUAUUGCACAAUGGGGGAAACCCUGAUGCAGCGACGCCGCGUGGAGGAAGAAGGUUUUCGGAUUGUAAACUCCUGUCGUUAGGGACGAUAAUGACGGUACAUAACAAGAAAGCACCGGCUAACUACGUGCCAGCCGCCGCAGUAA
rnacentral:rRNA from 1 species